GCCAGUGUGGUAUAAUGGUUUGAAUGCUGGACUACAGCUCUGGAGACCAAGGUUCAAAUCCUCACUUGAGCA